rnacentral:rRNA from 1 species
AUUGAACGCUGGCGGCAGGCCUAACACAUGCAAGUCGAGCGAGCGGCGGACGGGUGAGUAAUGUCUGGGAAACUGCCUGAUGGAGGGGGAUAACUACUGGAAACGGUAGCUAAUACCGCAUACCAUCAGAUGUGCCCAGAUGGGAUUCGCUAGUAGGUCGGGUAACGGCCAACCUAGGCGACGCUCCCUAGCUGGUCUGAGAGGAUGACCAGCGACACUGCACCAGGGACACGGUCCAGACUCCUACGGGAGGCAGCAUUGGGGAAUAUGGCACAAGGGGCGCAAGCCUGAUGCAGCCAUGCCGCGUGUGUGAAGGAGGCCUUCGGGUUGUAAAGCUCUUUCAGCGGGGAGGCGUUACCCGCGGAAGAAGCACCGGCUAACUCCGUGCCAGCAGCCGCGGUAAUAC